rnacentral:rRNA from 1 species
GUAGGUGGCAAGCGUUGUCCGGAAUUAUUGGGCGUAAAGCGCGCGCAGGCGGUCCUUUAAGUCUGAUGUGAAAGCCCACGGCUCAACCGUGGAGGGUCAUUGGAAACUGGAGGACUUGAGUACAGAAGAGGAAAGCGGAAUUCCACGUGUAGCGGUGAAAUGCGUAGAGAUGUGGAGGAACACCAGUGGCGAAGGCGGCUUUCUGGUCUGUAACUGACGCUGAGGCGCGAAAGCGUGGGGAGCAAACAGGAUUAGAUACCCUGGUAGUCCACGCCGUAAACGAUGAGUGCUAAGUGUUAGGGGGUUUCCGCCCCUUAGUGCUGCAGCUAACGCAUUAAGCACUCCGCCUGGGGAGUACGGCCGCAAGGCUG